GUGCUUGCUUUGGCAGCACAUAUAAUGAAAUUGGAACGACACAGAGAUUAGCAUGGCCCUGUGCAAGGAUGACAUGCAAAUUUGGGAGGCGUUCCAUAUUUUU
ensembl:snRNA U6 U6 spliceosomal RNA